GACAACUAGGGCUGAAUCCCCUGCAGAAAUUUGGGAGACUACGAAGAGCCCAUUCCACAGAACUGUCGCCACCAAGAGGUGAGGAAGAUCCUCCAAACUGCUUUGUCCCUGGUUGAAGAGAGUAUCUGGGGGCAUCGAAUCCUCCAGUUCAUCCUACCCACUUUGCCAGAUGGCUGAAUCCACUUCUCCAGCCAGAGUUCUUAUCUAUAUUUGGCUACCCGAGACCAACUCUGCCUCAAAGACAAGAGGAGAAAAACAAACAAACCCAAAAUUCAACUGACUGAAAGUCUGUCCACCUACACAUCCAAUCCUGGGAUCCAGUCAGUGACAUGGACCUACAGCAGUUCCUUACCAAAAAGCAACUCACAGCCAAUUGUUUAGAAGAUGGUGAAAUCAUUGAGCUGUGCGUUUUCUCCACACAACACCACAGAAAUCAAUAGCUGUUUGAGUACUUCAUCAUAAUCUGGGGAAGCCCAUCAUUCCUGCAAAAUUGUAAAGCCACAUCAUUUAUGAAGUAAGCCCGACCAACCUGCCAAAUUUUUCUGGUCAUAAAGAUCCUGUUUUGGCUCGAUCUACUCUGGUAUUUUGAAGAGUUGUGAUUUUCUUACAAAAACUACUGGACAAACGACCCAAGGAUAUUCCAUCUGAUCCUCUGAUAAGAAUACUGGUGGGACAGCUCUGUGUGUGAUAAUCCCACACCGAAAAGGACCAAUGCCCACAACAGCAAAAUGGAUGAACAAACUGAGAAUGGAGACUGGAAGAGGCUGGCAGAAGAAACAAGAGACAUACAAACUAUUGCAUGAAGUAUUCACACCAAAAUCAAG